GACGAACGCUGGCGGCGUGCUUAACACAUGCAAGUCGAACGGUGAAGCUCCAGCUUGCUGGAGUGGAUCAGUGGCGAACGGGUGAGUAACACGUGAGCAACCUGCCCCUGACUCUGGAAUAAGCGCUGGAAACGGCGUCUAAUACUGGAUACGAGAAGGGUCCGCAUGGGCACUUUCUGGAAAGUUUUUCGGUUGGGGAUGGGCUCGCGGCCUAUCAGCUUGUUGGUGAGGUAAUGGCUCACCAAGGCGACGACGGGUAGCCGGCCUGAGAGGGCGACCGGCCACACUGGGACUGAGACACGGCCCAGACUCCUACGGGAGGCAGCAGUGGGGAAUAUUGCACAAUGGGCGAAAGCCUGAUGCAGCGACGCCGCGUGAGGGAUGAUGGCCUUCGGGUUGUAAACCUCUUUCAGCAGGGAAGAAGCGAAAGUGACGGUACCUGCAGAAGAAGCACCGGCUAACUACGUG
rnacentral:rRNA from 1 species